CCUACGGGAGGCAGCAGUGAGGAAUAUUGGUCAAUGGACGGAAGUCUGAACCAGCCAUGCCGCGUGCAGGAAGACGGCUCUAUGAGUUGUAAACUGCUUUUGUACAAGGGUAAACCUCAGUACGUGUAUUCCGCUGCACGUACUUUACGAAUAAGGAUCGGCAAACUCCGUGCCAGCAGCCGCGGUCAUCCGGAGGAUCUAAGCGUUAUCCGGAUUUAUUGGGUUAAAAGGGUGCGUAGGCGGAUUGAUAAGUUGGAGUUCAAUGUCCGAGCUUAAACCGGGAACUGCCCUUAAUACUGUUGAUCUAGAGAGUAGAUGCGGUAGGCGGAAUGUAUGGUGUAGCGGUGAAAUGCUUAGAGAUCAUACAGAACACCGAUUGCGAAGGCAGCUUACCAAUCUAUAUCUGACGUUGAGGCACGAAAGCGUGGGGAGCAAACAGGAUUAGAUACCCGAGUAGUC
rnacentral:rRNA from 1 species